GACGAACGCUGGCGGCGUGCUUAACACAUGCAAGUCGAACGGAAAGGCCCUGCUUUUGUGGGGUGCUCGAGUGGCGAACGGGUGAGUAACAAGUGAGUAACCUGCCCUUGACUUUGGGAUAACUUCAGGAAACUGGGGCUAAUACCGGAUAGGAGCUCCUGCUGCAUGGUGGGGGUUGGAAAGUUUCGGCGGUUGGGGAUGGACUCGCGGCUUAUCAGCUUGUUGGUUGGGUAGUGGCUUACCAAGGCUUUGACGGGUAGCCGGCCUGAGAGGGUGACCGGCCACAUUGGGACUAAGAUACGGCCCAGACUCCUACGGGAGGCAGCAGUGGAGAAUAUUGCACAAUGGGCGGAAGCCUGAUGCAGCAACGCCGCGUGCGGGAUGACGGCCUUCGGGUUGUAAACCGCUUUCGCCUGUGACGAAGCGUGAGUGACGGUAAUGGGUAAAGAAGCACCGGCUAACUACGUG
rnacentral:rRNA from 1 species